rnacentral:misc_RNA from 1 species
CUGAUCCUGACAGAUGAUAGUGCGAAGAAAGGCAAGUGCUGUGCAGUGUGUGACAGGAUCUAAUUUUGAAGUUUCAGCUGAUUUUGACAUUUUUAACCAGUUUGUGCUUGUAUUCAAGUCGGUAAAAGAUAGUGCUUAUCAAUUCCUGAACUGAAUUGUGUCUAAAAAGUGCGGUUUCAAUGUUAUUUGCACGUUAUUUAUUUAUUUAAAUUUGAGCUAUGUAUACCUCAUUACUUUUACCCAGUAAAGUGAAGUACUUCUUAGAAGUGUGCCAGGUCUCGUUGAGAGCCGAUCUAUAUGGGGCAAUGCGUCUCCAGUAGGUCGGAGAAGGGAGUACUUGCACGAAGCAAAGGGGCACCACCCACCAAAAAUCCCUUCAAACAUCGUCAUAUCAAGAUGGACAAGGGCAAGCAGCAGCAGUCGGCAAGCGCACACGCACACACACGCGGUGAGGCAAUGUCGUUCGGCUUCAAGCGACCGACGACCGCGCAUGCGCAGUUGCCAGCAGCCACCCCCGCCCCCGCCGCCUCCGACGAGAAGAAGGAGUUGUCUUCGGUCGACUCACUAGUCAUGCAACAGAAUUGCACUGCUCGCUCUGGAACCCCCAGGCUAGCCCGUCCGAAGAAGGACGCGACCGGUAACAGUAAUACGCGCACAAACAGAUUUGGAUUCAGGAACACAACUGCUCUCUCCAACAAAGUGGCUGACUCGCAGAAGAGCGACACGUCUUCCUUGUACAUUAAUAAUUAUGCCGACAACACUCCUUCUCGGACCGAUUCCAAAUCUUCCGUAGUAAAGUUGAGCAGCAACCGUAGCACGGCGUCUUCUGACUCGGCGCGAUCGGCGUCGUCUUUGAGCGACGACAAUCACAGCAGCAGUAGGGCGUCGUCGAAGGGAGGAGCCAAGUCGCAGUCGCAGCCGCAGCCGUCUGCGACCCGCUUCACACUGCUCACGAGCCACCUGCCGCGGCCGCAGUUUCCGGUGCGACUGGCCGCGUCAGCCGCUCACUACAAGUCGCCGGACAAGUCGGCCAAGACGGCUGCCAACAACUACACCGCUCGCAAGGCGGCCCACUCCGACAACGGCAAUGGCUCGUCUGCCUCCUCUACAACAGAUGCUGAUUCUGGAACUGGUAGUCAGAAGAAUGGUGAUUUGGAUGCGCAUGGCAUCACAACUCUUGAAGAAAGCCCAAGUGCCAAAAACAAACUUCGCAAGAAAUCACGACCGUUGGAAAUGGUGUUCCUGAACAACGAGAAGAAAACGUUCGAACUGCGUGAGCUGCAAGACUCGAUCGAGGUGACAGAGAUAGUGCCACUGGAGCUGCCUGUCGCUGCGUCGGGCAGCGGUCGCAUUGUGCAGGAGAGGGGGGGAUUUGUGCAGGAGAGGGGGGGCAUUGUGCAGGAGAGAGCUCGCGCCUACCAGCAGGCCACCAUGCAGCCGCAGCUGCAGCAGCAGCAGCUGUUCUCGUCCGAUGAGGAGGAAAGCGACGAGGGAUUCGAUGAUGAAGGCUGUGGCGAAGAGAAACAACAUAGAGACCGACUGCUGAGUGAGAAGGUGGAACGGAGCAACUGCCUGGGCGGAGGGGAGGGAGACGCCGACGAACUGUGGGGGCACGGGGAGGCCAUGAUAGGUGAAGAUGACUUAUCCAAUCCAUCCAGCGGCGAAAACAAUGGAGAAGACAUAGACAAGAUGAAUCCUCCUCUGCGGUCGGUGCUUCUGAAGAUUGAGGACCCGGCGUUCGCGACGCUGGCCGCGAUGUCGACAUCCACCAUGCUGGAGGACGAGACCUCACCCGACUUCAGCAGCUCACCUCCCAGCUCCACUGCAGACCUCGGCCUCGAACUCACUCAGCCUACUGUUCAGCUCGACAAGAAAAAUAAUUUAGUGGGAGGAAGCCCAGAGAGCCCGGGCACACCGACGCACGCAUCUAACUCGCUGUCUCUGUCGGAGGGCAGAGGUGACUUCCUGAUUGACGACGAGAUCGCCGACCAACCGGGCCUCGUGUUCGACGAGACGGUAACCGCCAACUCGUCCGCCAACACCAUCAUGCCAAACAGCAACGAUACCACGCCCAUUGCCGUGGAGUUGCCGCCAAAAACAACAGGGAGAAUCGGACAAUUGUCACACGAUAGCCCGGCUCAUCACAACUCUGUGGGGACUCUUUCUCCUUGCGAGAGUAUCACAUCAGACGACAUGAUGAUCGACUACAACCCCAGUGAGGCUAGCAGUUUCGAUGACAUUAAUGUUGAUCGAAGAUUGGAGAUGAUAGGCUUGAGUGAAAAUGAAGAAGCCGCCUUGAGGUCUGACAUUGAAGCAAUCAAGAACGAUGAAGUGUUGAAGGAGUGGUCUUCUCGACUGUCACUUGGAAUGGGCAAUGGGGUGAGAGCGACACAUUUUCUGCGUUCGCGUGUUGGCAGUACGGGGAGUGGUGGUGGGGGUGGAGACUCCCCUCGCUCCCUUCCUCUUGACACCCCGCGCCUUAGGGGAAGCCCUCUGCGCCCUUCCAGACAGGGGAACAGUUCUCCCGGAGAAGACUUCAGUGAGGACUCUGGAAUUCGGCUAGACCGGACAACUCACCAGGACAUGUUUCAGGAUGUGAUUAGCAUCAAAACAAUGCUUUUGAGAUUAACACGUGUUCUUCAAGAGACUGAUCAAGUGAAUGCCUUCGAGAAUUCAUUGAAUAAUGGAUAUUACAAUUUGGGAAAUGAAGGCUCACAAGAGGAUGUUACAAGUCAGAAAAAAGAAAUAGCUGAAGAAAUAUCUGACUUGAAACGACAGGUAGGUCUUGUUCUUGCAGCAACAAUUGGAGGAGAGGGACCGCACCAUUUCGGGGCUGCAGACCCGGCUGCAGGAGACCCGGACUCCCCCCUCCACUGAUCCGCCCCCUCAACACCCCCGCCAAGCCUGCAAUGCUGCCACACAAACCGAGCGGGGUCUACCAACUGACAGCAUGGGCGGCAACCUAGUUAGCUUUCGCCUGGGAAAG